CGUAGUUAGAGCGUCCGCAAUGGGAGAACAACGGAAUCCUUAGCACUUAAUCAUAUGUCAGGAAAAAUAAAAUAAUAAUUUUUUGCUUAAUAAAACUUAAGGAUUUGUCCUUAAAUAGAAGGUUUAAGGAUUUGAUCCUUAAGAUACGUGGCAUUCUGUGAAUGGGUCAGAAGUUCAACAACGAAUCAACUUGAUGACACCGAAGGCUUCACGAACGAAGGGAAAGACGACGAUGGAAGUCGGAGGCGAUUGCGUUGCCGUCACAACACUCAUCAACCCUCCCGUCAAUUCUCAUUCGACGCGAUUCUUACUGGUAAAAAGAGAGAAGCUGAAUAAAAGGUUGUGGAAGAAUCUGGGCUCUGUUUCUAAGGAUAUGUGUGUUUGUCUUGAAAGUUUCAGGGAUUCAACUUGAGAAGAUAAAUAAUUCAGAAGAUUUUGUCUUAUACGCUACUUUCAUCAAGGAAUGACGUAGAACGGUUUUGAAUCGAGUCUCUGUUUAAAAUAAAGUUUGUUUCUUUCCAUCUCAAGAGUUGAGAAAGUUUGGAACUUUAUGGCGCUACUACAACAUGUUUGUGAUGAUAACCAGCUUCAAGCAAAGACCUUCCGCAGCAGCGACUGAUAACUCCAACUCUGAAGAAGAGCGAGGAUGAGCGAGAGUAGGAGAGGGAGUCGUCGUUCUUAGCUAUGAUAACUCCAACUCUGAUGACAGCUCGGUUGCAUCGGUAGAGUUUCCGGAGUAUAGAGUAGAUGAGAUCGAUGAUGAGUUCAUCACCACCACGAGUGGGGUAAACAGAAGUAGCUCUGUGCAUCAAAGGUCAGAUUCAUCUACAUUAGAUACAAGUUCUUACACAAUAGGUGUUGCUCUCUCUCUCUCUCUCUCUCUCUCUCUCUCUCUCUCUCUCUCUCUCUCUCUCUCUCUCUCUCUCUCUCUCUCUCUCUCUCUCUGGUCCACAGGUUAAGAAGGCAUCGUUCCCGUUUCUAUGAAAAUUAGGUACCAUUUUUGUGUAUCUACGCUCUUGGUUCUAUCUUUUUGUCAAUCAGCUGGAGAUUGAAGCGAGGUAAGUGAAGCAGACAAUGACGGAUGUUCUUGGUUUUGGACCUCUCUCUUUCCGUUGUUUCAGUUACAUGAUUUGAUUUUAGGUUUGUUUGUCUUGUGACAUUUACUUGCGGUCGCAUUCUUGUACAAAAACGUAAUCAGGAAAAAGGUUUUUGUCUCAAUACUGA